rnacentral:rRNA from 1 species
GACGGAGGAUGCAAGUGUUAUCCGGAAUCACUGGGCGUAAAGCGUCUGUAGGUGGUUCGAAAAGUCCACUGUUAAAAAUUGAGGCUUAACCUCAAAGAUGCCGUGGAAACUUUCAAACUAGAGUAUGGUAGGGGUAGAGGGAAUUUCCAGUGGAGCGGUGAAAUGCGUAGAUAUUGGAAAGACCACCGAUGGCGAAGGCACUCUACUGGGCCAUUACUGACACUGAGAGACGAAAGCUAGGGGAGCGAAUGGG